rnacentral:rRNA from 1 species
CAAGUAGAGCGGCGGACGGGUGAGUAAUACAUGGAUAAUCUCCUCGAGCCCGGGAUAACACUGCGAAAGUGGUGCUAAUACCGGAUAAGACCACGUGACCCAGGUCAUGCGGUAAAGUGGCUUUGUUUUCGGAUGAGGCUAUCACUUGAUGAUGAGUCCAUGGCCUAUCAGCUUGUUGGCGAGGUAACGGCUCACCAAGGCGAUGACGGGUAGCUGGUCUGAGAGGACGACCAGCCACACUGGGACUGAGACACGGCCCAGACUCCUACGGGAGGCAGCAGUGGGGAAUAUUGGGCAAUGGGCGAAAGCCUGACCCAGCGACGCCGUGUGGGCGAUGAAGGCCUUCGGGUUGUAAAGCCCUGUUGGGUGGAAAGAAGGGUCCAUCGACGAAUAAUCUUUGGAUCUUGACGGUACCACCAGAGGAAGCACCGGCUAACUCCGUGCCAGCAGCUGC